UACGUGUGGAAGAGAACUCUUCGUUGUUUUCGUUUCUUUCCGUAAACAAUCUUUGAAAGAAGAGAUGUCUGGACGUGGAAAAGGUGGAAAAAUCAAGGGAAAGGCGAAGUCUCGUUCGAAUAGAGCAGGCUUGCAGUUCCCCGUUGGUCGUAUUCAUAGACUGCUUCGCAAAGGAAAUUACGCAGAACGCGUUGGUGCUGGUGCACCUGUUUACUUGGCGGCCGUCAUGGAAUAUUUGGCUGCUGAAGUUUUGGAAUUGGCUGGUAACGCAGCCAGAGACAACAAGAAGACUAGGAUUAUUCCAAGACACUUGCAACUUGCCAUCAGGAAUGACGAAGAGUUAAACAAACUCUUGUCUGGAGUCACUAUCGCCCAAGGUGGUGUUUUGCCAAAUAUCCAAGCGGUCCUGUUACCUAAGAAAACUGAGAAAAAGGCAUAAGCUGCUUUCUCCUUACAAAUCGGUCCUUUUCAGGACCAACAAUCGAUGUUACGAAGAACGGUCUCAAACUAAACUAUUCAGAUCAAUCAUUUUAAAAUCGUAGGUUUUGUUCGAGUAAACUAUCAUCAUAUCGCUCAAUUUACGUAAUAUUUGAGCAAUAUGGUUGAUAUGCUGACAUGGAGUGCAAUAGAGUAUAGGAGAGGUUAGGUAUAUAAUAUCGAAUACUAUAUAGAAUUAUUAGUGGCAAUAAUCUGAAAUUAAUUUAAGGGCAUUUCAUGAUUUUACGACAUACGGGUCUUGAACGCAUACAUUACCUUUCCCAUCCUAUCGUUUCUUUACAAAUGUCUACAAUAGCAUGACAAAUCGAUAGUACUCCGAUAAAAUAGCGUCUACUCGAAGGAUAAGCAAAACCGCGGAUUAAAGCUUCGAUUCGAUCUUACUAUACGGCGCUAGUGUAUCGUGAGAGCUUACAGCGAGCUAAACAGAUCUUAAGAAAAUAAUCUCUGAAAGACCUCCUUUGUGUAAGAUCAUUGAACUUUAUUCGGUGAAUAAUACGCAGUUAAAGUAUACAUGUGCACUUAUCGAAUCAAAUAUAAUACUAACAAAAUUUCGAAUAUCACAUUCUAUGUGCAUUAUUUUUCGUGCAAACUACUGUAAAGCCUGAUUGUGAUUAGUUACGAUUCUUCGAUCUAAACGAUUUGACUAGUGAGAAGAAGAAAGAAAACUUGAAAGUAUAGUAGAAAUGAAGUAAAUAGCAAAGUUUGACUUGAAUAUUUCUUUCACCUUUCUAUUCAUCACUCUUCAUCACUGAAAAAUAAAUUAAUAUUUAAUAAUUGAAUGGAACUAACUUUCAAAGAUAUUGUUAAAGAUUAAAGAUUAGAAUGAAAAAUAAGCAAGUCUCCUUGCGAGAACAUGUACAAACGAUAGAAAGGGACGAAAUUUGAAGGUUGUUCAAUCCCUCCACUGACCCGACGCAAUAUUUCCAUUCUGCUCGAGUAAAUCUCUCUCUGGUGUAGUGUCCGUGAGACAAAAAAGACGAGGUCGACGGUUGGAAGUUGUCAAUGCCAUCGAGAAUGGUGGACGAUCGGCGCGUGAACGUUCGAAGGCGGAGGGGCCUCGGCAAACCGCGUCUAUCUGAUGCAGACGAAGCGUUACCAGGUGACUCAACUAUACUCGUGUACGUCGGUUUCAAAGCGCCGAAAGAAAGGGAAAGUACCCGGGACAUCGAUGCAUGGGAGCCUGGCGUGCUCUCAGUCCGCGGAAAGCAACUGAGCGCAUACGAGAAACGAUUCUUCGCAUCAAUUCUGUCGCGCAUUCGUGGAGAUCGCGAUCGAAAUUCGUGGUGACACGUUGUGGACCGUUGGAAUAUCGUUGAUUGGAUCCUCGUGUGGCGGUCGGUGGCGAUUUUCUGUGACGCGGAUCGUACUGGAUCGAGGAAUGGAGUUCUUCAAUUAAUCGAUCGUACAUGGAGGAAUAUCGAUCGAUUAUGAUUCCAAAUACGUAUCGUCUUCGUGGAAUGGAAUUACCUCAACGAACCACAGAUGCUUCAGAAUUUCUGCGUGCCUGACAUCGUCAAUUGGGACUCACGAUGUUGGAACCAGUUCUUGGAAUAUCGACGGUAUGGUGGUUGGUGGUGUACGCCAGUAUUCUGCUGCUGCUGUCGCCUUUGGUGCUGAUCUUCAUCGUAUUGUUACCGAACUUCCCGAUAUUGUUGCUCAGAAGAAUGUGUUACAUUCCGAUCGAGUCUAUUUGACAAAUUGAAUCGUCGAUUCUUAGAGAUCGUACCUCUUUAAACCAUUCUGAGUUUCAAUGUUAAAAUUUCCUACGGUUUAACGGUUCGGUAAGUCGAUGAUUGAAUUGCAGAAGACUGUUGAAAAAUGCAUCAUUGUGCUCGAAAAUUCAAAGCAUGGAAAGAGUUACGAUAGUCUUUGAUAAUUCUACGCAAGUACAGAGUUAGCUUUAUGAUUGUAAUUUCGAGCAUGCAAUGAAAGAUUGUAGAUUGAAAAAAAAGAUUAUAGUUCCCUAAUAGAUAUCUGCACAAAGAUACGAUAACUGGGACAAUGACCAUGCAAUAAAUAGUCGCGGUUGAGAACAAACGUAUCUAUUUUCCGUACAUUGUUCAAUCAAAUCAAAAGUAGUUGUAAAGUUAAUACUCUAUUAUGUACCUUAAUUUAAAGCGUUCUAAUUAGCUAUCUACUUCUUUAUUUAGGUAUACAGAUUAUUAGGACCAUUAUUCGUAUCGUAUGAUUUAUCAGUCCCUUUUUAUACGACGAUUACGAUGUACCUUGGAAUUGUCAAGUAUACGCACAAUUGAUUAGAAAUGAAUUAUAAAGCACUCUCUAUCGAAA